AAUCCCUACUCUCCCAACCCCUUCUCCAACAAUCGACGCUCUCAAACCCUCAUCUCCCAAAAUCCUUCUCUCCUCCCUACAAAAACCGACCGACUCUCUCUCUCUCUCUCUCUCUGUUUAUUGAGGUUUGGUGGUGUUUUCGUAGGGUGUAUAGCAAUGCAGAGGGAAAAUAACAGGAGAGGAACUACAAGAGGUGAGGAUUUUUCUUCUCUUCUUCCAUAUGCAGCCAUGGCGAGUGCUUUUACGAACAAGCUAUUGAAGUCGAAAGAACAAGCAGAAGAAUACCCCUUUUUUAUCAUGGAAGAACUCAACCCUAAAAAUUUCGGCUACAUCACGGUACACCGUGCUUCCAAUCAUAGCCCAAAUCAUCAAGGACAUGCCUCAACAAUUGAAAGUGAGGCUUCUAGAGGAAGUGGGAGAGCAUGAUAGAGAACGGAUAUUGUCUGGUGCAACAACAUAAAGGAUGACAACUAUUGAGGAAAUGGUGGGCAUGUAUGUGUUGUGUGUUUCCUAUAUUUGCGAAAGGGUACGAAAAAGAUCCGGCAAUUGUAGCAAAUGAAGCUAUCCAGAAGGGUACUCGCAAUAAAUUGGAUGUUGUUUUUGUAGAUAUAGCUAGGUGGAUGUAGGACAAUGAACAACACUGAUAAGAGCACUUUCCAAGCUCAUUAUUUAUCUUAACAACCUAGAUCUGGUUCUUUUAGCUGGAGAGGCACUGAUCAGGUUUUGAAUUUGUUGCAACUUUAUUGUACUCGCUACAUCAAAAUCAUGCUUUUCAAUUCCCUUCUAUUGGAGAAGAAAGAAAACAGCAGCCAUGCAAGAAAACAAAAUAUAUGGUUAACUAAUGAGACAUUGAUAGAAUUACAGUUCAGAAACAAAAUAUGUUCUUAUACUUGUUUGCCUUUUAAAGAAUUCGGAAAGAUGGGUAUUGAUUUUUUAUUUUAUUUUUAGAAUUUUUUAAUUUUGAACAGGUUGGGCUGUUGAUUGUAGAUGGGUACUACAACAGCUUGCUUGCUCUGUUUGACCACUAAUUUUGUAAUUGUUGUAGAUGAUGAAAAUGGUGAUGAAGAAGGAGAUCUUAUCAUGGAAGCAUAUCUUACAAGUUUAAUGUCAUUUGUUUCAUUUCAGUUAUCAGUCUCUUCUAUAUUUUAUCAAAUCAAUAAAAUCUUUUCACAAUCUCAAACAAUAAAACUAACAAUCAUCAACAUCAUGAAGAUGAAAGCUUCACAAGAUGUUAAAAAUCUUACACAUUGAAGAGAAUAGAAAAGAAGAAGAAGAAGAAGAAGAUCAGGAAAAUACAUCAGGUUUAUUUUCUUCUUCUUAGACCUUCAUAUGAUUUGGCUUGGCUCUUGGAGAGGGCUGAAUUAUUUUUUUAGUUCUUCCUUCCAGCUCUUCAAAAUAUGAUGCGACUGGAAUUCCUAAUACAAACCUGCAUUUCUUCUUUUAUACACUUCAGCUUUCAACCCACACACCAUGUCAUGUGCCAAGCACAUGCCAUGUCACCAACCUGACACUAUUUCAUUUCCCUUCAUCUAAAUUUGAAUUUCAAAUUGAAGACUCAAUUGCAUUAUGAAGGAGUUCUUUGAUGGAUAGCACUUGUACAAAUCCCCCACGUGCUAGAGACUGGUUAAAUUGUGGUAGGUUACAGUGGCAUGUAUGGCUACACACUAAACUAGCAACAACUUACAGAACAAAAAAAACAAAAAAAAAAAAACAAUUCUACAAGUGAUCUUCCUUACCUAUCCAUGCUAGAUUGUCAUGUGUAUAGUGUGCAUAUAGAUGAACAUAUGGAUAAAAUAGAUGCAUGCUUGUUGGUGCUUCCUGUUGAAAGGGUUGAAGCCCUAAUUUCUCCUAUAGAGAACUGGCAUUUCUACAAGUUGUGAAGGGAGGUGUUUGAGGUCCUUCCAUGCAACUAAAGAUGCUGGUGCUGACUCAGCCUGUAAAUCUCUUGGCAUGUCUAAGGCUCAAGUGAAAGCAAUUCAAAACUUAUUGUGCGCAAAUUGCCAAUACAAACGGCAUCAGUGUUUUUUGUUUUUUUUUUUUGUGGCAAGUUGGGCUCUUCUGAUAAAUCCAGCAACGCUGAGGUUUGUUAUAUUCUAGCAGAAAUUUCAAGUCUUAAAAAAUAUUAAUUU